GUUGUUAGUUUGUUGUUGUCUCAACUCCUUUUGACAUUCAUCUUUGUUUCACGACCUAGUUCUGGGUAGCUUUAAAUAUUUUUUGUUUUAUUUCGGUUUUUUUUUUUUAUUAAACAAGCAUUUGCUAACAAUGGUCAGAAUAUAUAUGGGAGCCUCAGAAAACCAUUACAUUUUCUACAUAAGAAAAUGACUGUACCAACGUCAGGAAUAUGAUAUUUGUUGUCCAUUUGUUUGAUGUGUUUAAGCUUUUGAUUUUGCCAUUUGAUUAGAGACUUCCCGUUUGAAUUUUCCUCGGAUUUCAGUAUUUUUGCGGGUGAUUUUACUAUUGACCAUAUUUUGUUUCACGACCUAGUUUCGUUUGAUGUGUUUGAGGUUUUGAUUUUGCCAUUUGAUUAGAGACUUUCCGUUUGAAUUUUCCUCGGAGUUCAGUAUUUUUGUGAUUUUACUACUGACAAUACUUAUCUUUGUUUCACGACCUAGUGAUAGGUAGCUUCAAAUGAUUUUU
rnacentral:lncRNA from 1 species